GGGCGAGUGGUGAAACUGGCAAACACUACGGACUUAAAAUCCGUUGCCCGAAAGGGCUUGGGGGUUCGAAUCCCUCCUCGCCCA
rnacentral:tRNA from 1 species